GAUGAACGCUGGCGGCGUGCCUAAUACAUGCAAGUCGAGCGAACGGACGAGGAGCUUGCUUCUCUGACGUUAGCGGCGGACGGGUGAGUAACACGUGGAUAACCUACCUAUAAGACUGGGAUAACUUCGGGAAACCGGAGCUAAUACCGGAUAAUAUAUUGAACCGCAUGGUUCAAUAGUGAAAGACGGUCUUGCUGUCACUUAUAGAUGGAUCCGCGCCGCAUUAGCUAGUUGGUAAGGUAACGGCUUACCAAGGCAACGAUGCAUAGCCGACCUGAGAGGGUGAUCGGCCACACUGGAACUGAGACACGGUCCAGACUCCUACGGGAGGCAGCAGUAGGGAAUCUUCCGCAAUGGGCGAAAGCCUGACGGAGCAACGCCGCGUGAGUGAUGAAGGUCUUCGGAUCGUAAAACUCUGUUAUUAGGGAAGAACAUAUGUGUAAGUAACUGUGCACAUCUUGACGGUACCUAAUCAGAAAGCCACGGCUAACUACGUG
rnacentral:rRNA from 1 species